rnacentral:rRNA from 1 species
UACGUAGGUGGCAAGCGUUGUCCGGAAUCACUGGGCGUAAAGCGCGCGCCGGCGGCGAUCUACGUCUGGGGUGAAAGCCCGGAGCUCAACUCCGGGACUGCCUUGGAUACGGGAUCGCUUGAGGAUUGGAGAGGCAAGGGGAAUUCCACGUGUAGCGGUGAAAUGCGUAGAGAUGUGGAGGAACACCUGUGGCGAAGGCGCCUUGCUGGCCAAUUACUGACGCUGAGGCGCGAAAGCGUGGGGAGCAAACAGG